rnacentral:lncRNA from 1 species
AAUGAUACUUGUUGUAAGGAAACAACCCACCAAACACAAAUUGUGCGUUACUUGUUCAGGACCAACAUCACUACGAACCACUAAAAUUUCAUCCUCUUCAUCUUUUAAUGACAAAUUUGCUAGUUCGUUCUCUAUCCCCCUUUCUAAACCUGAUUCUCAAAAAAACCCUUGGCACUUCCCAAGCCACCGCAUUCAAAAAAAC